GUUGCACGGGUUUGUAUGUUG
rnacentral:miRNA from 2 species